rnacentral:rRNA from 1 species
CCUACGGGAGGCAGCAGUGAGGAAUAUUGGUCAAUGGUCGGGAGACUGAACCAGCCAAGCCGCGUGAGGGAUGAAGGUACAGAGUAUCGUAAACCUCUUUUGUCAGGGAACAAAGGCGGGGACGUGUCCCCGGAUGAGUGUACCUGAAGAAAAAGCAUCGGCUAACUCCGUGCCAGCAGCCGCGGUAAUACGGAGGAUGCGAGCGUUAUCCGGAUUUAUUGGGUUUAAAGGGUGCGCAGGCGGUCUGUUAAGUCAGCGGUAAAAGCCCGGGGCUCAACCCCGGCCCGCCGUUGAAACUGGCAGUCUCGAGUUGGAGAGAAGUAUGCGGAAUGCGCGGUGUAGCGGUGAAAUGCAUAGAUAUCGCGCAGAACUCCGAUUGCGAAGGCAGCAUGCCGGCUCCACACUGACGCUGAGGCACGAAAGCGUGGGUAUCGAACAGGAUUAGGUACCCUUGUAGUC